rnacentral:rRNA from 1 species
AGAGUUUGAUCCUGGCUCAGGACGAACGCUGGCGGCGUGCUUAACACAUGCAAGUCUACGAGAAAAAGGUAGCAAUAUCUUGAGUAAAGUGGCGCACGGGUGAGUAAUAUAUAAGUAAUCUACCUAUGGAUUCGGAAUAAUCUCGCGAAAGCGGGACUAAUACCGUAUGAUGCAGCGGCACCGCAUGGUGAUGUUGUUAAAGUUGCAGCAAUGUAACGUCUAUAGAUGAGCUUGUAUCUGAUUAGCUAGUUGGCGGGAUAACAGCCCACCAAGGCGACGAUGGUUAGCGGGUCUGAGAGGAUGAUCCGCCACACUGGAACUGGAACACGGACCAGACUCCUACGGGAGGCAGCAGUGAGGAAUAUUGCGCAAUGGGGGAAACCCUGACGCAGCGACGCCGCGUGGAUGAUGAAGGCCCUUGGGUCGUAAAAUCCUGUCAGAUGGAAAGAAAUGCCACAGGGCUAAUAUCUUUGUGGUUUGACGGUACCAUCAAAGGAAGCACCGGCUAACUCCGUGCCAGCAGCCGCGGUAAUACGGGGGGUGCAAGCGUUGUUCGGAAUCAUUGGGCGUAAAGAGCGUGUAGGCGGCUGGAUAAGUCAGAUGUGAAAGCCCUGGGCUUAACCUAGGAAGUGCAUUUGAAACUGUUCAGCUGGAGUAAGGGAGAGGAAAGUGGAAUUCCUGGUGUAGAGGUGAAAUUCGUAGAUAUCAGGAGGAACACCGGUGGCGAAGGCGACUUUCUGGCCCUAUACUGACGCUGAGACGCGAGAGCGUGGGUAGCAAACAGGAUUAGAUACCCUGGUAGUC